GGCCUGUUCGUCUAUCGGCUAGGACGUGAGAUUCUCAUUCUCAAAAGAGGGGUUCGAUUCCCCUACGGGCUACAA
rnacentral:tRNA from 2 species